rnacentral:lncRNA from 12 species
GCCGUCAGCACCACGGACAGCGCCGAGCCCGGGGGCGGGGCGGGCUCCCCAAACCUACACACCCCCCCACCCGCAGGGGCAGGCCGGGGCCAGAGCUGAAGCAAGAGGAGCCGCCCUUAUUCCUGGUGCCAGAGGGUCCCUGGGCUGGGGGCAAGGGGAGGCCCCGUCACCACGGAGUCAUGCUGAGCGUCCGGCCAGCGAGUCACUCAGGCGCAGCAGGCUGGCCAGCCCUUGUGAGCCGGGACCUGCCCCAGGUCCUGGCAGUGGCCUGUCCUCCGCCCUGGGAGUGGGCAGGCUGCGCCAUCAUUCGCUGAACGCGGGGAAGCGUCCCCUCCCCGACCCCGGGGCCGUCAGAAUGGACAGGGCGGCGGGACGGCAUCAGGACCCAAGGCUGAGUGAGCCCUGGCGGGCACCGCCGCUGGCCCAGCCCCAGAGGCCAGCUCUCCAAAGGCAUGUCUCCUCCCGUCCCAGGGGGGCCAGUGGCCCAGAGCGCACCGGAGCUGUCACACGUCAGGGUCACACAGGCGCAGAUUAGCCACGCGGGGCCUGGCAGGAGCCACUACCAUCACCUCUUCCAUUUCUCAGUGAUCCCUCCACCUGCGACAGCUCCCCUCCCCCUCCCUCUCCCUCCUCCCUCCUCUCUCCCUCUCUCCGUCCCUCCCUCCCUCUUCCUGCAUAGAAAACCUCUGUGGUCCCUUCUCUCUCCUGUUCAUGAACUUUUAGAAAUGGAAACCCACCAGGAAAAUCCACGAAGAGAGGAAGGGGAACCGGAGAAGCCCAGGAGGAGGAGGAGAUGCCUCCCCGGGGAACGCCCAGAUGACCAAGAGGUGCCCAGGCCUCUUAAUCCAACCCAAAAGGAAGCCACUUGUGGGCAGAUUUAUCUCCCGAGGUUUGUUUCCGGCCCUGAGUUUACCUGAGUUCGCCGGUGCACACGCAGGCGUGGCCGUCUGUCCUGACGGCGCUGCUGCCUCCUGGGUCUGAUGGAGUCCCGUCUACACCCGGAGCCCCCCUGCAGGACCCUCGUCACCGGGCCAGCCUCCCUGCUCCCGCUGGGGGAACCGGGGGGCGGCGAUGAAAGCUUUCCGCCUUUUUUUCCUGCCAAUGACCAAAUUCGAAUGUACAAUUUAAAAGCUACAUUGGCACUUUCCACCCCACUGCCUGCGAUGAUUGUGCCGAGAUUAUUAAACCCGUCAUAAAUAA